UAGUAAUCCUCCAUCAAUAUCACCCGCUAUCCUGACUGGAAUUAUUUCUUUCUUUUUCAUCUCGGAUUUGCUUGACAUAUUGUCCACUGUAACCACUGCUUCACCUUGUGGCUGGUUUAUAAUGGUACUCCCUGACAUCCUGCUCGCGCCAACUGGAAGGUAGCUGCUUGAAGAUAAUAGUGUAUGCCGUAUCUUACACAUAAAUGCCUGGCACAUAAGGCAUUCAACUUCUGUUGCUAGCACAGUUUUCGUUGAUUGACACCAACAGGAAGGUAGCUGCUUGAAGAUAAUAGUGUAUGCCGUAUCUUACACAUAAAUGCCUGGCACAUAAGGCAUUCAACUUCUGUUGCUAGCACAGUUUUCGUUGAUUGACCAAAGCUGUCUGCUUUUAGUAAUGCUCCAUUGGCUUUUUCGGUUUUAUUGUGGAUAGAUU
rnacentral:lncRNA from 1 species